GCGUAUUCGUGGUGGUGGGCUAGCCACAUUCGAACCAAACAAUCCAAAUGGCUCGAACAAAGCCUGCAAGGUAAUCAAGAUUUUAGAUUAUGCUAACUUGAAUAUAGUUUGGAUAAUUUUACUUUACUGAUAAUUAUUAUGGAUAAUUGUUACGAAGAAUGCAAUAAAUAUUCUUCAAGACAGUGAUUAAUUGAGAUAUCUGGUUGAUUUGUUUUAUGUUUUAGAGAUGGAAGAGAAGGUGGAGUACAUCCUGAAGCUCUUUCAAGAAGAUGGAGAUUCUUUUAUAAAGAAGGCAGAAAUGUACUACAAGAGGAGGCCUGAGUUCAUAGAAUUUGUCGAAGAAUCCAGGCAUGCCUAUCGAGCUUUAGCACAAAGAUAUGACAAGUUAUCUACAGAGUUACAAAAUGCCAAUACCACUAUUGCUACUUGUCUGCCAGAUCAAGUUCAUUAUUCUAUGGACGACGAUGAUGAGGAUUAUAAUGUCAAAGGUCACAAAGCUCCAAAAGGUGUCGGGCCUCCAAAAGGCGUUGAGCCUCCAAAAGGCAUCCAACAGAGUGCACCGCCUCCAAAUGUGCCCAAAGUUCCUAAUGCUCCAAUCAAGUCCUUGAAGGGUAUUAUAAGUGACGCGUCAAAGAAACUGUCUAAGAAACCAACAAAACCAACUUAUGCGCAGAUUAAGCCUAAGCCUCCUCCCAAGUCUGGUUUGACAGAGGCUGAAGCCUCUGAAGAGGUUGAUAAGCUUCAGAAAGAUAUAUUAGCAUUGCAGACUAUGAAAGAGUUUGUGAAGAGUUCUUAUGAAAAUGGAUUAGAAAAGUUUCGCAAAAUUGAGAGUGAGAUUAUGGAGAAACAGGACAGGGCUAGUAAAUUGCAAGAUGAAUUUGGUAUAACAAGCGUGAUUGAGAAUAACGAUGCACGGGAUGUGAUGGCAAAAACAGCACUCAAGUCUUGUCAGGAUACGUUGGCUCAGUUGCAGAGUCAACAAGAUAAGUCUAGUGAGGAAGCUGAGGCAGAGACUAAAAGGCUUGAGAAGGCUCGUCUAAGAGUGAAAGAACUCAGAAAAAAGUUUCUCCCUGAUGAACCUUCUGAUAAUGAAACCUCUGAUCAGCACGAUGAUCCAAAGGCACUAGGUGGAGAGUCGACAAGCAUAAACCAGGAGGUUGGCCCCCAGCGACAGAAAUUGGAGGAAAUUAUAGAGACCAUUAAAAAACUUGAUGAAUCUAGUGGCUCUAUCACAGUGACAGAACUAGCUGAGAAGAUAAAUGAACUUGUGAAUGAGGUGAUCCAUUUGGAAAGUUCAGUUUCGUCUCAGACUGUUCUAAAGAACAGACUUAAAACAGAAGCGGAUGAUCUUGAGUCACACAUACAGCACUUUGAAGAUGAGAAAGAAACCACGAAACAUGGACCACCAAAUGUGAGUGAGAGAGUGAAAGAUUUGGAAAAGAAACUAAAAUCAGUUGAGGUUUUAAACCAGAAUGUUAAGACUAACAACAAUAACUUUCGAACACAUUUGUCUGUGGUCCAUAGUAGCCUUGAUAAAGUAUCCGAGAAGCUUCACACUGUAAAAUCAGAUGAAGAAGGAGAGCAAUCACAAGAAGCAUCAGAUAGCGAAGACAAGGGACCAGAAAAGACUAAAGCACAUGACAUACCAAAGGUUCAAAGAGAAUCACCUGAUGAGGUUGAAGGUGGAGAUAUAAAUUCUAAUAAACCAACCACUACUGAUAUAUCAAAUGAAGAUAUUGAUCCUGAUGACGAGGCAAACUUGCCACAAUUGCUCUUGAAUGGCGUGGAAGAUAAAGACAAGAUUCUCAAAAAAGAGUACGAUACAAUUAUAAGAAACUACAAAGAAAUCAAAAAGAGAAUUCUCAAUGAGGAGAAGACUAGUGAUGCCCUCUUUCAAACAACAGUACAAGUCAGAGUACUGAGGAUUGCUGUUGCUAAGAGGGACAAAGAAAUUCAAGCUUUGCGCGAUAAGUUACAAGAGAAUGCACCUGAAGCAGGAGUCGCGACAGUAGGUGAAGAUGCACAUACUCAUCCAGAAGAUGAAGUGGAGGAAGAAAUCAAUAGUUUGAUAAAUGAAUCCAAACCAGAAUCACCUUUUGAGAAGAAACUCAAGGAUCAGAUUGACGGGAUCCUGGAUGAGAACCUUGAUUUCUUCUUACGGUUUAGUACCACAUUUCAUCAAAUACAAAAAUUCAAAAACAGUAUAACAGAUUUACAGGAUGAAAUCUCCAAAUUUAAGGCAAGGGAAGCGAAGAAAGCAGAAGGAAAACCUGAUCAACUUGACAUUGAAUUUAAAUCAGAUGUACGCGCAGUAUUCAGGCAUCUCAAUGAAAUAAAAUCCGAAUUAAGAGUAUGGUUAGAACAGAGUGACUCACUCAAGGAAGAACUUCAAACCAGAUUUUCUUCACUAUGCAGUAUUCAACAAACAAUAAUAGCAGCUCUGAAGGAAGGUGUUGAAAAAGACGAGAUCGCGUUCACCAGUCAUCAAGCAGCAAAGUACCAGGGUGAAGUUCUGAACAUGAAGCAAGAGAACAAGAAGGUUAAUGAGGAGUUGCAAGGAGGAAUAGAUAAUGUAACUUCACUCCAGACUGAAUGUGAAGAUGCAAUAAAAAAAUUGGACGAGGCAUAUGGACUAACAGAAAAUGCUGCGAGGAAUGUUAACAAGCCUGGAAUUCCAUUACGCUCAUUCAUCUUCGGGAAUAAAGAAAAGAAGAAGAAGCCUGGACUG
rnacentral:lncRNA from 1 species